rnacentral:lncRNA from 1 species
UCCAUAUGCCGCGGGAGCCACCCAAGAAAUAGCAACAACAACAACAACAACAAAAGACAAAAAGACAAAAAUAAAAUAAAAUAAAAUAAAUAUCUAGUCCAAAGUUCAUACUCUAGGAGAUUGUUAUUUUGGUGGCGCACAAUGAACCCUGCCUCCCCCGUAGCCAUGCUCUUGUGUAAUCCUCUCCCCUUGAUGCUAGGCUGGACCUGUCCCUGCUUUAAACAAUAGAUUGUGGGGGAAAAAAAGAACUUUAAGAAGCCUUUGCAGUGAGAACAUUGGAAUUACCAGAGACUGAGACUGGACACAUGGAAAAUGGAGACUAUUAAGAAACCCCCCACCUGUUUGUGUUCUGGGAAACGGCUUCCAACAAAGAAGUGCUCUUGCCCAGGAGAAACACCAUGUAAGAAAUCCAACUACUCCGACACCACCAAGCUGUAAGAAGUCUCACCUAGCCACUUGGAGGGGCCAAAUGGAGGAAAACUGAGGCCCCUGCUAACAUCCCCACCUGUGCUCAACCUGCUACACAGGUGAGUGAGACCAACUUGAAAGUGAACUCUGGCACCCCAGUCAAGUUGCCACACCUGAUACAACAUGGAGCCGAGAUAAGCUGUCUCUGUGCCCAAAUUGCAGAAGUUGGGGGCAGAUAAAACUGUUGUGUUAAACCACUCAGUUUUGCGGUGUCUUAUUAGGUAGCAGUAGAUCACCAGAAUAGACCUGUGUAGCCAGCUAUCUGCCAGAGAUGUGUCCUGAAGAGUCCCACAGGCCCCUCAACCCCAACUUGCUCAAAUUGAGCUUUUCGAAUUCCCUCCAAACCUGCCUCUUCUCUCGUGCCUUCUGUCCCCACUGGUAGUGUAUCAUCCCUCCAAGGCCCCAAGCAGAUAACCUGGGAGCGUUCCUGGAUUCUUGUUUAUCCUACAAUAGUCAGUCACCAGGUAUUGGGGUUUCUUCUCUAGCCCCACCAUCUUCUCACAACAGAUGCUUAUCAUCCACCUCCUGAGCUACUGAGGAUUUGUCAGCUCCUUCUGUAUUGCAAGAGUCACACAUGCACCCAGAGUACCUUAGAGGUUUAUCGUCAAGCAGGAAGAGACCAGCCCGGGCAUCUCCUAUCGCCUGCAUCCCAGUGGUUUCAAGGCUGGGAGGCCCAGCUGACUUAAGGAGAGUCACAGCAAUAAGCCUAUCCUUUAGGCCAUAACACUAGCUCUAAGGAUGUAAUUUAUCUCUGGCCUCCUCAUCCCUAGUCUCCAAGAGAAAACCUGAGGGGUCUGCUCUUCCCCCAUCGACUGGUACAGGGCACCAUGAGCGGGCUGAGAGUGGCCUGCAGUCUAAGAAAAAGAAACUAAUGUAAUAAAGUUGAUGAUUAAUAACUCCAUAAAACACCAACAUGGUAUGUAAAUUCAUUUCAUUAUGCUACAUGUAAAGAAAUUCAUAUUUUUAAAGUAGAAAAUUAAAUUUGAACCAACAUCAGUGUACUUAGGGAAACAGUGAUUGAGAUACUUGACUGGCUCCUUGUGUACUAGUUGGCUCUCUGCCUUGGCAUCUGUGUGCAUUCUCUGUCUUGGGAAAUGGCAGAAAGCGAGGCACAAAAAUUGGAGAUGUUAUCUAAAAGAGGGAGAAGUUGAGGGGACAGCCCGGGUCAAGGGCUAGCCUCUCCUUUGCCUACCUGAAACUGAGAGCAUUUAUGUCUUGAACCUAGCCGAAACCCAGAUUGGGACUUGAACGCAUGGUUUUUCACUCACCCGGUGUCUGGACUUACUGAGGUUCAGAUUCUUUGUGCCUCAGUGCAGAAAGAAUUCAGCAAGAGACAAAGUAAAUUUAGUAAGAUUGGAUGCAAAAGAUGCAAGCAGUCAGGCAAGGAGGGCCUGCCCCAAGGAUUAUGUGAGCCACAGUUUUAUAAUCCAAGGGGAUUGAGGGUGGGAAAAGAUGCCUCUUCCUCUUUCUUCAGGUAAUAACUCCUUGGUAUCUGGUAAGAGUAUUUAACCCUAUAAGAUCAAACCAGGACUGUCCUGGUGCUUAUUCAAAUCAGCAGAAGGUCCUUAAACUCCUGCCCUUGGUCUGAACUUGAAGAAUACAGGCCUCACCCCAUCCCCCACCCAGUGACCUGAGGCAUAUCUCAUGCCUCCACUAGUUCAGCAAGCCUGCCUGGUUCUGAUGGCCCUCUUGAGCAAUUAUUAACAUGCGGUGGUCUCCCAGAGUUAUAUCGGUUUCCCUCCACUGUCUUAUGGUCCCUUACUGGGACUCCUACAACUACCUGUUUAACUAUCCUACUCCAUCUCUAUCCUAAAGAGACAGCCUGGGCCCACUCUGUCCAGCCAAUAUCCACACCCCCUCUCCUGGCUCUUUUCUCCUCCACUCCACUCUCCUGGGUAAAUACACUAUCAUUAGAUCCUGAAAUUGCCAUAGUGGCCUAAACUAAGAUGAUAACAAGAUACACAUCUGGCAGCAAGAGGGACAUGGUAAGCACAGGCUUCAUG